rnacentral:antisense_RNA from 1 species
GGGUGCUUGAGACUUUCUGUCUUGAGCAGUCGUGAUAGGCAGAAAGACGAAAGCCCCGAGUUAUUUUUUCAAUUAACCCGAGGCACCGUUAUGCUUAACCACCAUUAUGG